ensembl:lncRNA
AGACUAAGGGAUUAGUAGCAAAGCCUAGUGAAGAGCACUCAGUAAAAAACAGGAACCUUAGUAGUGGCAUUCUGAGGAUGGAAAAUGAAGUCUUUAGCUUUGGAGGAAGGAGCUGAACUCCAUGGAUCAGUCCAGGUGAGAAAGAAGAUAAGUAUGAAUUCACUUGGAGGGAGACCCAAGAAUGAGAUCAGAGUGACCUUGAGAGGAGCGCUGGAGAAUCCUAUCACCUCUAGAGACCCCUCUAUACCACCUCCACCUCUUUGUAUAAAGUGAAUUUUGACAGUGGCAAUGUUUCAAAGUAAACUGAAGUAUGUGGUUCAGGUUUCUUUUCUGACAUAAUGAUGUGAAGUCUUCUGAUGUCCUAAUUAACACAAGCUAAGAGGUCUGCACCAGAUAAUCUUAUAUAACCUCAUUAAAGUCACAUUGUUCGAUGUGAAGAUAUGAACUACUCCUGGUUGUCUUUCCUGAUGCUGUUAUUGGUGUUUUAUAUUUUACAAAAAUGAUACAUUAAUAGCAGUGUUUGUUUACUGUUAUGCUAAUUAAGUGAAAGCUUAUUUAACUCUCAUCAAAUAGCCCUACUACCUGUCAGCUGUACCCCAUGGCAGUCAUGUCAGCUGUCUAGAAUCAGUAGGUUAUAUGUAGGUUAUAAAAUAUGUGGGUUAUAAAAGUAAAAAAGUAACCACCUUAGGAAAUGUGGAAUGUGUUUAUACUGAAAUAUAUUUUCAAAUCAGAAAGUUAGGCUGCUCCUUUCCACAGAUAUGUGACAUAUACAUUACAAGCUUGCUAUAAAAGUGGCCAUUUGCACUAUAAAUAGUCAUAGGCAAACAUGAAAAGGGAUGCAGCUGUUAGAUAGUGCUUAAUCACCUUGGCAUCAUACAAACUCUGUUUAGAAAUUUAUUUGUUAAUAUAUAAUAUUGAAUUAAUUUGUCUUCUUCUUCUUCAACUUCUUCUUCUUAUUCUCUUCCU